CAGAAAGAGACACUUUAAUAUGAAGGAAUCGAACAGCUUCAGGAAGCUAUAGGCAUCCACUGAUUCAAACUGCAAUGAGCCCAGUGCUCGGUUCCCUGCUUGGUUGAUGUGGGGUUUUGUGGGCUCAGGGCAGGAGGUUUGUUAAAGUAGAGAAAUGGGAGUGUGACUUUUUCAGAAGGUGAGUUACGCGUUCCGGGCAGUCAGUGCACUGCUCAGCAGGAGGAGGUCCUGCAGGUGGUGCUGCAAGGGGUCGGCUGGCCGCAGGGGGGCCGGCAGCAGGGGGACUGCACAGACACAGGCUGGCAGCAGGGGGGCCGGCAGCAGGGGGACUGCACAGACACAGGCUGGCAGCAGGUGGUGGCCCAGCAGCAGGGCCUGCACACC
rnacentral:lncRNA from 1 species